ensembl:snRNA RNU1-112P RNA, U1 small nuclear 112, pseudogene
AUCCUCACCUGUCAGGGGAGAUACCAUGAGCACAAAGGUGGUUUUCCUAGAUUGAGGCUCAUCUAUUGCACCCUGAGUGUGCUGACACCCGAUAUUUCCACAAACAGGGGAGACUCGACUGCAUAAUUUGUGUACAUGGGGGACUGAGUUCGCACUUUCCCUGA